UGGCAUGGACGAAUUCUGCUAUAGCUUUCUUCAGUAGCUAUUGCAGUCAGACACUAUGCCAGAUUCAAUUCCCGUUUUACACUCUGGCAUGCUUUUUAUAUGUGAGUGGGCAUGCCCUUGGAAGUGGGAUACAAC
rnacentral:snoRNA from 1 species